rnacentral:lncRNA from 1 species
AUUGACGGGCUGAUUGCCGAGCACUAUCGUAGAGCUGGAAGCCGUGGGCAUCAGCGAGGUCUCCGCGGACCCACACGAGCUCGUGUACAUGCCAGCGCCAGCGCCCGUGCUCGUGCACGCCCCUCCAUUGUCACGCUCAAUAUGAGAUCCUAUCUGAGAGGAACUCAAAGGUCCCACCAAGGAUAGAGCCACAUAUCAAAGAUGCUUUUGCAAGGUGGAUAUCAUUACAUCAUACCAUAUACAACUCCAAUGGGGAUACAUACAAAGGCAUACAAACGCCACAUGAAUACAUCAAACAUCAUACAAAAGAGCAGCAUCUGACUACGGAUGAAAACAAACGAAAAACAUGAACAACAUCCACCCUGCUAGCCCAGGCUGCCGACCAGGAACCUAUCCCCUGAUCGAAGAAGAAGCAGAAGAAGAACUCCAAACAAGAAAGCAUCGCUCUCACGUCAUGUCAUCGCAUUACCUGCACCUGCAGCUAUUGUUGUAGUAAUCUGUGAGCCACGAGGACUCAGCAAUCCCAUUACCAUGGGUAUCAAGACUAGCAAAGCUUAAUGGGUAUGGAAUGGAUAAGUGGUGAGGUUGCAGCAGAACUAAGCAUUGUAUGGUGGCUAACUUGCGAGUACAAGAGUAAGAAGAGAAACUACGCAAAACGGUCACAAUCUAGUAAUGAUCAAGAAGUGAUCCUGAACUACUUAAGAGUCGUACAUAACCCCACCGUGUUCCCUUCUCAAACUCACUCGAAAAGAGACAAUCACGGUUAAGCACGCGGUUGGUGUAUUUUACUUCGGGUUUAGUGUCAAGUUUUCUACAACCAGGUAUUAAAAAUUCCCAUCUGCCACAGAACCACGAGCAUGGCUUUCGAAAGUUUAAACCCUGCAGGGGUGUCCCAACUUAGUCCAUCACAAACUCUCACGAUCAACGAAGGAAAAUCCUCCUCCCGGAACAACCCGAUCAAGCUCGAAAUCCCGGUUCACAAGACAUUUCAACAAUGGUAAAACAAAUACAGCAAGACCGCCCGAUGUACCGACAAUCCUGAUAGGAGUCGCACGUAUCUCGUUCCCAGGGCACGCCGGAUGGGCAAGACGUCAGGUUGGCUGAGACCCUGGUUGCCCGGGGGCGCCGGACAUCGCCCAGUUUGGACCAACACCAUCAACACUGGCCCCACCUGUAUUAUGUUAAAUUACUCCUCGGGUACCGCUAACUCCCUAUGCGUCAAAUUUAAUAUCAUGUUUAUUAUGUUGGGAAAGUGUUAAAACCAAUGUUGGGCCUUGCUGGAAGAGUUUUAUUCAAAGCAAACUGUCAAGGGGGGGCAUAAACCCCGACCGUGUUAGGAACAUAAAUUCAAGGAACAUAACACCGGUAUGACGGAAACUAGGGCGGCAAGAGUGGAACAAAACACCACGCAAAAGGCCGAGCCUUCCACCCUUUACCAAGUAUAUAUGUGCAUUAAUUAAAUAAGAGAUAUUGUGAUAUCUCAUGAUAUCCAUGUCCCAACAUGGAACAACUUGCAACUGCACCUGCAACUAGCAACGCUAUAAGAGGGGUUGAGCAAAGCGGUAACAUAGUCAAACAACGGUUUGCAGGGAUGGUGGAAAAGGUUAGAGGUUUAUCAUGGCAAUUUGGGAGGCUUCACAAACAAGUGGUAGGUAGCGCGACAUAGCGAUAGCAUCGAGACAACUAGCAUGGCAAAGAUAGUAGUGAUAUUCAAGGUAAUGGUCAUCUUGCCUGCAAUCCCGCUCGGAAGAAGAACGAGUCCAUGAAGUAGACGAACCAAGCAUAGAAGAACGAAUCCUCACAAUCGCAAGGGAACCGGAAACUAUCGAGAAGAAGCACAACCCGAAAGAAGCAAACAACACGAUAAACACACAAGCAUAAACAUGACAUGAUGCACAACCAAGUAUGAUGCAUGUCUGGUUUAAAUAGCCAUGGCAUGGCAAAGUGCAACAAACAAUACUACCAAUUAAGUGGAGCUCAAUAUGCAACGAGUUGCAUAUUGACGAACCCCCACAUUAAAAUAUUUUAGUUCACUCUCGUUAUGAACCCAACAAGUUUAAAUGUUCUUAACAUGGCAAGAGGUGAAGCAUAAGUAAACUAGCUAUUUAGGAAAGUUUAAAUGAGGACGGAAACAACAAACAACAAUUUCGGAAAAUCCCCAUGUGCAUAUUUUUGAUUUGGUACUGUUCUGCCUAAACAAUUUCAGAGGUGUUAAACAGCAAAAUAAAGUGCACCAAGUUAAUCUAUGCAUUUUUCUACCCCAUUUACAUAUAAAAUUUAUUUAAUUCGGAGCUACGGCUAAAUAGUAAUGCAAUAAAUCAUUUUAACAUGUCAUGUAUGCAAAUUAGAUGCAAACAGAAAUUUAAACAUUUUUAACAUGGAUGAAAGUUUGAUAUUAUGAAACUAGAUGAAAUUCUAAGCACUUUACAUGUUUAAAUCAUUUUAAUCCGAUGCACGGUUUGUGAGAUAUUAAAUGCAUGAAGCAUAGGGAUCAACCUGUAAACAUGUAGUAUUCUGGAAUAUAAACAAAAUCACAGGCGGGGAAAACAAACAUGCUAGGCUGAAUUGCAGUGCGCUGCAGCGUCCCAGGAGGAUUUGGCCCAAGUGGAUGCCUGUGCACGGUUGAAAAAAUAACACAGGGGAAAAGAGUUAUGAAACUAGAUGAAAUUCUAAGAACUUUACAUGUUUAACUCAUUCUAAUCCGAUGCAUGGUUUGUGAUAUAUUAAAUGCAUGAAGCAUAGGGAUCAAUCUAUAAACAUUCAGUUUUCUGGAAUAUAGACAAAAUCACAGGCGAAAAAAAAACAUGUUGGGCCGAAUUGCAGCGCGCUGCAGCGUCCCAGGAGGAUUUGGCCCAAGUGGAUGCCUGUGCACGGUUGAAAAAAUAACACAGGGGAAAAGAGAAAUAUAGAGGCUCCCUGGGAUUCGACCCCGGGACCUCUAAGGGCAUGUUUGGUUUCUUGGGUGGCACCUGGCUCACACCCGUCAUGCAAAAUUCAGUCUGUUUGGUCCCGUGUAUGGCAUCUUCAGCCUGGCCCGCCAGAUGCAAAAGGACACCUCUCAGCCAGGCUGGGUGGAACGCAGGAUUUGGGCGUUUCCCUCGUGCAGGCCCAACUGGUUGCACCCGCAAUGCAGGCGUGGGGUAGCGAUUCCCUCGCGACCGUGGGGGUCACAGAGUCCCCUCGCCUCUCAUUUCUUUCUCGUUCCUCGCUCAAGCUCUCACCUUGCCACUCGUCGCCGUUCCCAAAUCUGUGGUGGAGAUCGUCGAAUCCUUGUCAAUGUCCUCCCCAACGCUAGCUCCACUAUCCGCUGUCAAACUCCGCUGCCAACGCGGCCUUCACAAUGGCCGUUGCUCUGCGCGAUCCACACCCCAUCGAUUGGAUCUGGGUGGUUGGGAGCCGGAGGUGUGAUCGGUCGUGCUGGCUGAGUGAUUGUGAUUGGGAAGGUGCAUAGCUCUAAUUGAAGAGGGCAAAGCCCUGGUCUUGGAACCAUGGACGCACAUCAACUUGUUGCCGCCAACGACGAGCAAAGCAGCGGCUACAGGUGCAGCGGAUCACCAGCGGGGGUGCGGAAAUGUGCGAGGGUGCACGCGACCGAGCGAAGGCUGUUUGCGCUGGUGUCUUGCGUGCAGGCACUUGUGCACGAGCAGGAGCUCGUCCCCGAUCAUGGAGAAGACUACGACCGGAUCCGUGCGGUUGGUGUUGUGCGGCUCCUACGCGGGCAGCGCGCUGGGGUUGUGUGCGUGCGCGAACAGACAGGGUCGAGCGCUUGCGGGGGUGUGCAGGAGCAUGCAUGGGUGCAGCAAGGGCGGCAGCCUGCAUGCAGAGAGUGCGCGACCAUGGUGGCCAUGCAGCCGGAGCCUCCGUUCGCUCGGGGGGAGCGCUCAAAUGCUUGGGUCGACAAAAUAAAGGAGGUAGGAGGAGCGGAGCUUCACCGUGGGGGAGCUGCUGGAGUUGUACAAGGCCGAGGGUGGACGUGGUCGGCGGGAAGACGUGCUGAUCGUGGCGAUG